ACGGAUUCGGUUCAUAGGGGACCUCGUUUUCUUCACGGGAUGCGCAGCGGCUGCAGUAGCGAGGCAGCUGGCGUGCAGGAGAGGUGGAGUGGUGGAGGUCCUCUCUGCUGCAGGUGAUGGGGAAACGAAGCGCCUCCAGCCGCCGGAGAUCCAUCUGAACUCAACAUAGCAAGUAUAAAUUAGUAGGAGUUAUUUGCAGUAUCAAAAUUUAACUAACGUACGAUUUU